AGCAGUAGCCGCGGUAAAACAGAGGGUGCGAGCGUUAAUCGGAUUUACUGGGCGUAAAGCGUGCGUAGGCGGCUUCUUAAGUCGGAUGUGAAAUCCCUGAGCUUAACUUAGGAAUUGCAUUCGAUACUGGGAAGCUAGAGUAUGGGAGAGGAUGGUAGAAUUCCAGGUGUAGCGGUGAAAUGCGUAGAGAUCUGGAGGAAUACCGAUGGCGAAGGCAGCCAUCUGGCCUAAUACUGACGCUGAGGUACGAAAGCAUGGGGAGCAAACAGGAUUAGAUACCCCCGUAGUCCCUGUCUCUUAUAC
rnacentral:rRNA from 1 species